ACUCUUCAACCCUCCAGUUCCUUGUUGAACUGAUAGGUGUUUGGAUUCUGAGCGCUGCUGGCCUAACCCUUUCGGGGGCACAUGGCGAAGCUCGUUCGUAAUACAUUAGCAACUCAAUUUCGAGUAUUCGGAUUGACUCGGCGUAAUAGACUAUUCGCUGAGGACACUUAUUUACUUAGGUGGCCGAAUCUUGAGGUAGUAGCUUCUAAACUCGAUCAACAGUCAAAUUUUUAGAU
rnacentral:misc_RNA from 1 species